GGGAGCCGACGGGUCUACAAGCCGAGAUGGAGUCUGGGACUCGGAGGCAUGACGGCGAGGCGAGGGAUCCUUCACCCUCAACGGCGAUGGAGACCAGCAGACCUGUGGCGAGCUCCAGUUGGUGAGCUGAGGAUGAGCGCAGGGGCUGCUGGGAUCCAUCGAUGUAGUGUGACCCGGGUGGGAGGGUGGGAAAACUGGAAGCGCACAUGGCGCGGGCACUGAAGGGAGCGCACGUGGCGCGGGCACUGGAACUGGAAGGAGCGCACGGGGAACAGUCUCUAGGGUGCGCUCCUGAGGCAGGCAUUCAGGAUGGCUGGGCGGAAUCAGCGGGCUAACAGGACGGCUGGGCGGAACCAGCGGGCUAACAGGGCGGCUGGGCGGAACCAGCGGGCUAACAGGGCGGCUGGGCGAAACCAGCGGGCUAACAGGGCGGCUGGGCGGAACCAACGGGCUAACAGGACGGCUGGGCGGAACCAGCGGGCUAAUGGGGUAGCUGAACGAGAACAGGAACUCUGUACACAGGGGAGGUGCCCAGUCUAUGUCCAGGUCGACAUCGUCCAGCUCCUUUUGUAGAUCCAGCAGCCCCAGGUGGAUGAUCAGCUCAUCCUCAGCCGAUGUGCAGUGGGCUCCACUCCACUCCGCGCUCUCAUUGCAGUCGGCUGUCUCCCCCGUGGCGAGCUCUGUUGACAGCUCACGCACCUGGUGUGUCGCAGUCGGCUCGGGUCCGGUGGCGCUCCACGGCUCUGUUGCUCUCCUCGGCUAGGGUUCCGUGGUCGUCCCAGACUCAGCGACCGCGCCAUCGGUGGGCUCAGACUGGAACUCCGCAUCGCGGGGAGAUGAUGGGCUGGGUUCUGGAUCUGGAGUGGGGCUGGUGUCGUUGUUCUCCAGCGCAACAGUCAUUGACGAUUUGCAGGACACCAGCACCCACUCGAUGUAUGCGGCGAGGCUCUCUCGAGGACCGUUCCCGAACAGCUGAGCUUGAUUGGUGAUGUUAAGUCCGCGGAAGUAAAUCUCGCACAGAAAGCUGUCCGGGUAACAGGAGUCGUUUGUGAGGACGAAGAAUGUCUGUGUAUAUUCCUCGAGAGCAAUCCCCCUGCUCCAGCCGGAGGAUGAGGACAGACGGGUCGAUAAACGGGGUAAACAUAGUGACAAAAAAUAAAGCAAAAAGGGGAAAACACGCUAACUUUUAAGGUCUGAUUGUACUGUCACGUUCGCGCUUUCGCGAGACAAGGCACACACGACUCGAAAUAAACUUAAACAGAUUUAAUCCAAACGGGAUAAAAUAAAGAUACAAAGGCAGGCAGAACAGACAAGCAGGACAAAAACCACGUAUGGACAUUGACGAUCGGACAAUGGGAACUCAAAACACUCAGGACUAAAUACACAAGGAAAUUGACUACACUGACGAGACACAGCUGCAGACAAUAAUACAAUUAACAUGGAGGGAAGGCAGGGCACAGGGAGCACAUGGCACGAGACAAAAACCAUAAACAAAAAGAGUCCAGAGAUGUGACAGUAGGACAAGGUGAAAGAUGAGAAUUCAUCGGCAGCCUCCAUAGCCAGGACCGGAUGCAUAUGAUACAAACAUCAGCUGCUGAGUUUAUUCACACAAGAAAAAGAAAGCUGACCUCCUCAUUCCAUGAGUCAUGAAAAAAUUCUGGCAGAUCAGCGAUGCUGUGGCUUGACUGAGGAAAAUCAACUGUAGCUCGUCUUAACUCAUGAAGAUCAGCUGUGACUUGGCUUGACUCAGAGAGGACCGGUGUGAUAUGACAGGGCUCUGUUGCGGCAGCCAUCUUGACCUUGAAAUCAGGUGGGACGGCCAUCUUGUGCAGUGGCCCUGGACGGGUAGACAUGAUGUGAAUAACACUCAAUGUAGCAGACGUGAGGUUCACAGGCCCUGGAGUAUCAGGUGAAUUCUAGUUUAGCAGACAUAGCAUGAGUAAACUCUGACUUCACUGGCACAAUGUGAGCAGGUUCUGGAGUGGCAGGCAUGACAUUAGCAGGCUUAAACUUGACUGACAUGAUGUGAGCAGACUUUGAAUGAUCAGUGGGGAUGUGAAGAGACAGUGGAGAAGUGAGGAGAUUCAGGAUGAUCAGUGGUGACGUGACUUGGUUCAUGAUGAUCAGAGAUGACUUGAGUUGACUCCUGAUUGGUAGCUGUGACAUUACAGGGUGCUGUGGCAUUUAGCAUUUUAAGGCCAGGCUAUGCUGUCGCCACCAUCUUAUGACUGUACCACCAAUUCUACAUCUUUGCCUGUUCAGCCCUGACCACUGAUUCGACAUCACUGUCUGUUUAGUUCUGCCCACUGAUUCUACAUCACUAGGUGUGUUCAAUUUGAAGUGGCGCUGCAGCCACUUUUUGUAUCUAUUUCAGUGCUGUUUUUCCCCUCAUAGUCUAACACUCUUUCACAUAAUUAAGUAUUGUUUAAUCAAUCCUUCUACAUUUCGUAAGGGUACAAAAAGGUUAUACUUGUUCUCAGUCAAAAGAUUAAGAAGGCAGAAAAAUGGGAGAACCUGCAGCAUCACCAGAUGGAAAUGGUCAUACUGGAAAAAUGUAAAAUAGAAAAAAAGAAAAAAAAAACUUUUGCUUUUGUUUUUAUAGGAAUUAAAGAUGAACAAAUAAAUAAUAAACAACUUUGCCAUGGUUAUAGAUCACCUUACAUUCGUCAUACUUUCAUCCCAUACAGUAAUGAGUUUUUAUUUUCAGAUGGUGUGAUGAUGGAGAUGUGCUUGUCACCAAUGCAUCCAACCAAACUAGAAAUCCUGAAGGAAAUUCUGAUUACUUCCAGAGGUUGCAGCAAGAUGUUAUCAAGCUCCAGUCCAGAUUCUACAACAUUCUGUUUAGCCCCUCCUACUGAUUCAACAUUACUGCUUGUUUAAUUCUGCUCAUCUAUGCUACUCGAUGCCUGUUUAGCUCCACCCAGUUAAUUGAUGCCUCUUUAGCUCCACCCAAUGCUCUCAUCAAAACAAUGAUGUCAACUACCUCCUAGGUUAGAUCAAGUAGAACUUCCACAUCCCAUCCAAGGACCAAACAUCAUGUUUCCAGAGGUCUGGAUGCUGGUUUUUCAUCUCUGAGUCAGUAGAUCCUUCUUCAGAGGUAUCUGCCAGAAUGGGGCUGUCACAAGGAACAUUAGUUCUGGGUACCAGGUCAGAGUGUAAGGCGCCAUGAGCAGGACCUGCUUGGCAGUAGGCUGUUGUGACUUGGACCCAGUAAGUGGAGCAAUGCCACGUACCCUCAGGACUUGGCCAUCAAACUGUUUCUUGUUAAAGCGUUCUCAUAUGAGGCAGCCUCAGCGGAAUGCCCCAAGAGCAUCUGAAACUGUUUUACUAGGAUUGCCAUUCUGCUUUUGAACAUAUUCAGACAGUUCAGUACUGACUGAGCAUGUUCCUGCAUGAGGUGUGCUGUAAAUCCAACUUUAUACCAAGAUAAAAGAUCCUGUGCAACAGGGAGUAUUCUCUUUCCUGGUGACCAACAAGCCCAACUGCAACUUUUGACUUUUGUGAAGACACAGGGUAACAUGGACAGCCAGAAGUGCAGAACCUUUAAAGGUUCAUCCUUUAAACGUAAACCACAGAAAUGUAAUGUGGAAGAAUUGAAACAUGAAAGUAUUUGUCCUUCAGGUUGAUCGCUUCAAACCAAUUUGGGAGGGAUGCACCUGAAGUUGUGCUUCUGCUGGAGCAUCUUCAACUGUAGCUUGACAUGCAUAAUCAAGUUUGGUCAUAACCUAUGGCCUUUUUUGGUUGCAAUGUUACAUAGUUCACCAAUAGGACUGCAAUGUAUCCAUGCAACACUGAAGUGAAGUGGUGCCUCUGAACUUGCAUAGCCAGUACAGAUUGUCUGCAGAAGACCACAAACAUACCCAGAUACUGUACAAGUAACGUACCCAUGGUAGGGCAUUGAGCUAAAACGCAGGGAUCCAUCCCAUGGGUGUUGGUCCAACUGUGAUUCUUCAUGCUCCUUUGGGACCCAGAUACAGACUUUUUAAGUUUUUGGGAAAGAUUCUUUACCCUGACCUAUCCCAAGGAUCAAUUCACUCUGGGUUGCCUGUCAUAGUCUUUCUAACUUUUCUAUUUACUGCCGAACUAGAUGGGGGCCUGGAUGAAUGUGAAGGCCAUCUUUGGCAAAGAAUAGGUUAGGACGCUGUGGUCAGUGGAUGGGUAGAUGCUCUUGUGCAGCAGAGAACUGACCAAGCAUUGUUCAAUCUGAUCAUUGGACAUUUUGUUGUCAACCCCUAUAGUGGGUGACUCACAUACUUAAUAUGAGCUACCAGACACCACAUUGAAGAUCAUCGCUAAUUGAUUAAAGCUAUGCUGUAAUCUAAAGAGUUAUCAAGUAUUUUUAGCGUCAAAUAAUCCUUAGAGACCUUAGACCUUAGAAACAUCACAAACUAUAAAACGUGAAGUGUCCACCUUGUGUUGCAGAAACCUUUUCUUAAUCAUUAUGUACGUGUGUAUUUUUUUAAG